rnacentral:rRNA from 1 species
CCUACUGGCGGCUGCAGUGGGGAAUAUUGGACAAUGGGGGGAACCCUGAUCCAGCCAUGCCGCGUGUGUGAAGAAGGCCCUCGGGUUGUAAAGCACUUUCAGUGAGGAAGAACGCCUGGUGGUUAAUACCCAUCAGGAAAGACAUCACUCACAGAAGAAGCACCGGCUAACUCCGUGCCAGCAGCCGCGGUAAUACGGAGGGUGCGAGCGUUAAUCGGAAUUACUGGGCGUAAAGCGCGCGUAGGUGGCUUGAUAAGCCGGUUGUGAAAGCCCCGGGCUCAACCUGGGAACGGCAUCCGGAACUGUCAAGCUAGAGUGCAGGAGAGGAAGGUAGAAUUCCCGGUGUAGCGGUGAAAUGCGUAGAGAUCGGGAGGAAUACCAGUGGCGAAGGCGGCCUUCUGGACUGACACUGACACUGAGGUGCGAAAGCGUGGGUAGCAAACAGGAUUAGAUACCCUGGUAGUC